rnacentral:rRNA from 1 species
AUUGAACGCUGGCGGCGGGCUUAACACAUGCAAGUCGAGCGGGGUGAUGGUGCUUGCACUAUCACUUAGCGGCGGACGGGUGAGUAAUGCUUAGGAAUCUGCCUAUUAGUGGGGGACAACAUUUCGAAAGGAAUGCUAAUACCGCAUACGUCCUACGGGAGAAAGCAGGGGAUCUUCGGACCUUGCGCUAAUAGAUGAGCCUAAGUCGGAUUAGCUAGUUGGUGGGGUAAAGGCCUACCAAGGCGACGAUCUGUAGCGGGUCUGAGAGGAUGAUCCGCCACACUGGGACUGAGACACGGCCCAGACUCCUACGGGAGGAAGCAGUGGGGAAUAUUGGACAAUGGGCGGAAGCCUGAUCCAGCCAUGCCGCGUGUGUGAAGAAGGCCUUAUGGUUGUAAAGCACUUUAAGCGAGGAGGAGGCUACUUUAGUUAAUACCUAGAGAUAGUGGACGUUACUCGCAGAAUAAGCACCGGCUAACUCUGUGCCAGCCGCCGCCGUAAGAC